AGUUCAGUGAUGUCUGAUCUUCAGUAUCUUCCACCUCCUGCUCUCUGAUGCCGUUGAAAGCUUGAUAGAAAGUCACAUCAUCCCAUUCAGUGGUGGUGAUCUCGUUGUUCCGCAUCCCAGCAAAGGCAUAGAUCAGGAUUCUCUUGGAAAUUUAAAAUGAUGAAAGAAGAAUGGAAGAGCCUAGGGGCGUAAUGCGAAGGCUAUCAGAUCCAGAGAGAAGAAGAAAUCAGCUAGUGAUCAAGCCUGUGACCUAGAAUCUGGCAAUCAGUGUGAGUCCUGGAUUUCAAAGUAAGCAGCGUAAGAGAUGGCCGUAUGCGAGAGAAUCCACCUUCUAGGAAGUGCCAUGGUGGACGUGACUUGUUCUUCCAGGGCAGCAAUGUUCAAGAAAGCCUUCUAAACAAGGUCUCUGAACAGCAGGCAGACCAAAGAUGAGUGUCUCCUGAACAAGUGACAUAUGGAGGAGAUGGGGAAAAGUCAUCACUCACCAGGACAUCUGGGGGAAUCUCAUAGUCAGACUGGAUGUUGGAGAUGCCAGCAGCUACCGUGGUGGUGACCAUCAGCCUGGGCUUGUUAAUCUGCUUGGCUUAUUCAUAAGCUUCACAUGUCUCCUGUACAUAGGAGAAAGUCUAUGAACAUCAACUCUUGAGUUGAUUUCCAUGACCACUCUUUGAAUUAAAUUAAUCUUUCCCAUUC